AUGUCGAUGCCAGAAGAGUUUGUGAUAUUUCCUGCUGAAGGGAAGAUUUCCAAUGGGCCCGAGGGGGCACUAGUGAGUCCCGAUUGCCCGUUUCUGGUCGCACGGCUACCAGAGCCACUGAACAAGUCGUUCGAGCAAGUGCGACGCUGGAUAAUGCAGCUCUUCCAGUUGAAUGACGUGACACAUGAGCUCACUCCGCAGCACAUUCUGUAUGUCAGGAACAAUCCCAUGGCUCCUCCUUCCACCGUGCUGAUUGACAUAACUGGGGACGAUUCCUGGAGGGCGUUCCUGAAUGUGGCAUGGCGCCAUGUUGGAGUUUUCAGGCUGUUUGUCAAGUGGAGUGCCAAGAAAACAACCUCUGAUGAAGAUCCUGCAGUGACAGAUGAAUCUGAUGAUGAUGGCAGCUGGCCAACUUGCAAGCAUGAUAAACCUUGCACCAUUGAAACUUCAUGGGACCGUCAAGACCCAGGGCGAAGGUUCUACCGCUGCCCUCUCUUCGCGGAUUCAAAACAGGACUGUGGCUUCACCCAAUGGCUGGACAGGAAGUUCCCUGAGAAGGCGAUUGGGCACAUGAACUACCUCACGGACAAGGUUGAUUCACUCGGGCAGCAGGUCGACAACCUGAAGUGCGAGCUUGAGGAACUUCGUCAUCGUUGCCAGAAAAGGUCGAUCGCAGAAGCUGUUGUCAGUCAUGGAGACAAGUGCCCAUGUGGAAAGAUCCCUUGCGACGCAGCUUGUUGCAAUCAGGAUGAAAAGCCGUGCCCAAGUCAGAUUCGUAGAUUGGCUAAGGCCAAUUAG
rnacentral:rRNA from 1 species